UGGGGAAUAUUGGUAAUGGGCGAAAGCCCGAACCAGCAACGCCGCGUGCGCGAUGAAGGCCUUCGGGUUGUAAAGCGCUUUUUAAGGGGAUGAGGAAGGACAGUACUCUUAGAAUAAGUCUCGGCUAACUACGUGCCAGCAGCCGCGGUAACACGUAGGAGGCAAACGUUAUCCGGAUUUACUGGGCGUAAAGCGCGUGUAGGUGGUUCUGUAAGUAGGGCGUGAAAGCUCCUGGCUCAACUGGGAGAGGCCGUUCUAAACUACAGAACUAGAGGAUGGUAGAGGGAGGUGGAAUUCCAGGUGUAGCGGUGGAAUGCGUAGAUAUCCGGAGGAACACCAGUGGCGAAAGCGGCCUCCUAGACCAUUUCUGACGCUAAGACGCGAAAGCUAGGGUAGCAAACG
rnacentral:rRNA from 1 species